UACGAAGGGGGCUAGCGUUGUUCGGAUUUACUGGGCGUAAAGCGCACGUAGGCGGUUCGUUAAGUCGGGGGUGAAAUCCUGGAGCUCAACUCCAGAACUGCCUUCGAUACUGGCGAUCUCGAGUCCGGAAGAGGUGAGUGGAACUCCUAGUGUAGAGGUGGAAUUCGUGGAUAUUAGGAAGAACACCAGUGGCGAAGGCGACUCACUGGUCCGGUACUGACGCUGAGGUGCGAAAGCGUGGGGAGCAAACAGG
rnacentral:rRNA from 1 species